rnacentral:lncRNA from 1 species
CCGCGCGUCGCCUGGAGCAGUGUUUCCUAAGGCAGUGUCCAGUGGCUGUGUCCUGUCGACGGGAGGAGCUGCAGCCCUGCCGGCCUCCCCUUCCCUCUCCUCCUCAUGGCUCCAUUUUCUCUUGUUUUCUUUUCUUUCUCUGCUUGGAUCCUGACUUGCUGUGUGUGGUGAGCUCUCGGUUUUCUGUGUCUCAUUGCUCACAGACCCUUGCUGGAUUCCUCUCUUAAAGCCUGUUAAGAAGAAGGAACAAGAACUAUUUGGGAGAGAAGUCUGCCUUCCUAAGUGCAGUAGGUUAGAUUAUGAUUUUCUCUUCUGGCCAUUGGGUUUUUGCUCAGAAGCUGUGAUGAACUGGAGGCACAAAGUUUGGAGCAAGAGGCAGACUCCUUAAAAAGCUUCCUGUAUUCAAAAUCCAGAAAAAUUGGUUACAGUCAUCCACUCAAAUCCAAGAACUUCUGCUGCUCUAAGAAAAGUGAUGGAUGCAGAGGUCAAAACUCUCGAGACCGAAGCAAUGAGGGAGGUGGUGGGAACGGCGUCUGGCUUCUCUCUGGUGCGGGGGAAGUCCCCUGGAGAGGCGUUAAGG